rnacentral:lncRNA from 1 species
CAGGAACAAGUAUGAGUCAACUGCCAGGAGCUGGACCCAGAAAUAUGCCAUGGGCUAAGUGACCUGUGAUAUAUGUGAGGGAGAGCCUUUUUACUUCACAGUAUUUAGGCCAAACAGCCUUGUAUGAAUAUUUUUCGUCUUCAAUCAUGAACAGAUUAAUGAAGGCCCAUCCAAUUAAAGAUGAUUGGGGGAAAAACGUUUCUCCUGCUGUUUGUAUUGCAAAUGUUAAUUUUGGAACAGUGAAAUGUGGCCAAAUUGAAUGUUCGCUCUAGUUUUUACCUGUCUUGAUACUUGAUAGUGCCAUUGCAUAUUCAAUAUUUUUUUUCCUGGAUUUGAUUAUUUGUUUUUGUUUUAAACCACGGGAACCCAAAAGAUGAACCCGUGUUAGUCAUGCGCUUGGUGGCGGAUUUGAUCUACUAGUUUUUAUUCUCUUCUUUGGAAAAACUACAAACACAAAAGCUAAGAGAUGCCCAUAGAAUCCCUCAAUUACAGGUGGCCCAACUCAUGAGGAUGGGGGGUCAUGAGGAGGGGGUAAGGGGGGAAUCCGGAACGCAAACCCCACUAUGCUGACCGCUAGCUCCCAUCCUGGCCAACCGAUCUGCUACCAAAUUGAUAUCCUUGCUGAUCAGCACCAGCUCUACCAUCCAAUCACGCACCUGCCACUCCCUUAUUUCUGCAAUAACUGGCGCGAAUCUGCCCACUUCAUCAUCUGCUAUUGCACGAGCCAACUCGGAGCAAUCCAACUCAAUUACCACACACCUAAACCCCCCUGUUCCAGGCUACUUCGCACCCAUCCCUUAAAGCCAUAGUUUCGACCUUAAAGCCAUAGCUUCGACCUCAAACGCACUACCACCCACAACAAAAAACUGAACCCAAACAGUCAUAUCCUUGCAGUAUCUCUGGCCACCCCGCCACCACCCAUUACGUUCCUCACCUCACUAUAACUCCCAUCCACAUUAAGUUUAAUUCUUCCAUUCUCCGGCGGCCUCCACUUCUCCACCAUGAGCCAAUAUGCAUCAAUAGCACCCUGGGAAUCCAUAACCUCACUAUAACUCCCAUCCACAUUAAGUUUAAUUCUUCCAUUCUCCGGCGGCCUCCACUUCUCCACCAUGCAUCAAUAGCACCCUGGGAAUCCAUAAAGAUCGCAAAUUCAUCAUGGUCAUGCCUAAUCGGUCUCCAUGCGUCCUGAAUACUCCAGGAAGAUUCUCAAAAACAAUGUUGUUCCUCCAUUUCCACACCCCCACAGAGCCGCCAAUGAUUUAACACCCCAAGGUCCACGAGCUUGCCUCCCAAUCUAAUCAGCUACCUCUUGGGUAAAGAAGCCAACCAGUUCACUGCUCUCAUCCUAUUCAAGACUUCCCUCGAGUGUGGACAAUCACGAAGGCAAUGCACGAUGGACUCUGUCUCUGUCGAGCAACGAGAACAAGCCACCGAAGGGGACAUAUGGCACCUAUUCCAGUACUCAUUUUACCUGAAGAGAAUUAUGCAAGAUGACCCAGACAAAGUAUUUUACCCUUUUUGGAAUUAACCUUCAAUUUCCAAACCCAUUCCCAUGUCCCCAUUACUCUCCUUUUCCUGCAGCUAGGUAUAUGCUUCUCUAGUGGAAUAGCAACCCUCCACACUACUUCCCCAAACCCACAUAUCAUCUCUAUUAUCAUUCAAAAUCGGUUCUAGAUUCAGGAGCUUCUGUUCUACCUCAUCUGGGAUACUUGUAUAUAGCGAUCUGAGGUCCCAUUUUUCUUCUUUCACCAUGUCCCUCAUCACAACUCUGUAUCUGUGAUGUUGACGGACAAAACCACUCGAGCAACCUAGACCACUCCAGUUAUCAUACCACAACGACGUUUUGUUGUUACCCAAUCUGUUAGCAAAUCCUUCCCUGACUUGAUCUUGAGCCCGCGAAAUACCUUUCCAGACAACGAAUCCGAACUGCCAUGACUAACCUAGAAUAGCGAUUUCUCCUCCAGGUAUCUAUGUCUCAUCACCUGAACCCAAACACUCUUAUGAUUAUGGUGCAUAAGUUGCCAAGUUGCCUUCCCUAACAAGGUUGAACUCGUCGUCGCCAUCACACACACACACACACCUAACCCACCUCGCUCCUUCCUUUCCGUGACUAUAUUCCAUCCGACGAGGUGCCACACAAGGUUGAAUUCGUCGUCGCCAUCACACACACCACCCCCCUGCGAUGUGUUACAGGACCAAACAAACAAUCGCAUCACCUGAUCAAUUCUUCCCAGGAUCCCUCUUGGAAGCCAGAAAGCUUGCAUUGAAUACAUAGGUAUGGUUGAGAUCACCGAUUUUAGAAGGCACAAUCUUCCCGCCAUGCUCAAUAUAUAUUUUUCUUCAUCUUCCAAUGACUCUAAACUAAAAUAGCACAAUUUCAUCUUGCUCAAAUAUUUAGGCGUUGCUCUCAAUUUGUUCCCUCUAACGGACCCAAAUCCUGAUGAUCCCUUGGUCUCUGAAAUCGCCCACAUGUACAAGACAAACAGGAACAAGUACGAGUCAACUGCCAGGAGCUGGACCCAGAAAAUAUGCCAUGUAAUACAUGUGAGGGAGAGCCUUUUUACUUCACAGUAUUUAGGCCAAACAGCCUUGUAUGUAUAUUUUUCGUCUUCAAUCAUGAACAGAUUAAUACAGUUAUUUUCUCAACCCUUCAUACUCAUUUACAAGUUUAAUUCUUCCAUUCUCCGGCGGCCUCCACUUCUCCACCAUGCAUCAAUAGCACCCUGGGAAUCCAUAAAGAUCGCAAAUUCAUCAUGGUCAUGCCUAAUCGGUCUCCAUGCGUCCUGAAUACUCCAGGAAGAUUCUCAAAAACAAUGUUGUUCCUCCAUUUCCACACCCCCACAGAGCCGCCAAUGAUUUAACACCCCAAGGUCCACGAGCUUGCCUCCCAAUCUAAUCAGCUACCUCUUGGGUAAAGAAGCCAACCAGUUCACUGCUCUCAUCCUAUUCAAGACUUCCCUCGAGUGUGGACAAUCACGAAGGCAAUGCACGAUGGACUCUGUCUCUGUCGAGCAACGAGAACAAGCCACCGAAGGGGACAUAUGGCACCUAUUCCAGUACUCAUUUUACCUGAAGAGAAUUAUGCAAGAUGACCCAGACAAAGUAUUUUACCCUUUUUGGAAUUAACCUUCAAUUUCCAAACCCAUUCCCAUGUCCCCAUUACUCUCCUUUUCCUGCAGCUAGGUAUAUGCUUCUCUAGUGGAAUAGCAACCCUCCACACUACUUCCCCAAACCCACAUAUCAUCUCUAUUAUCAUUCAAAAUCGGUUCUAGAUUCAGGAGCUUCUGUUCUACCUCAUCUGGGAUACUUGUAUAUAGCGAUCUGAGGUCCCAUUUUUCUUCUUUCACCAUGUCCCUCAUCACAACUCUGUAUCUGUGAUGUUGACGGACAAAACCACUCGAGCAACCUAGACCACUCCAGUUAUCAUACCACAACGACGUUUUGUUGUUACCCAAUCUGUUAGCAAAUCCUUCCCUGACUUGAUCUUGAGCCCGCGAAAUACCUUUCCAGACAACGAAUCCGAACUGCCAUGACUAACCUAGAAUAGCGAUUUCUCCUCCAGGUAUCUAUGUCUCAUCACCUGAACCCAAACACUCUUAUGAUUAUGGUGCAUAAGUUGCCAAGUUGCCUUCCCUAACAAGGUUGAACUCGUCGUCGCCAUCACACACACACACACACCUAACCCACCUCGCUCCUUCCUUUCCGUGACUAUAUUCCAUCCGACGAGGUGCCACACAAGGUUGAAUUCGUCGUCGCCAUCACACACACCACCCCCCUGCGAUGUGUUACAGGACCAAACAAACAAUCGCAUCACCUGAUCAAUUCUUCCCAGGAUCCCUCUUGGAAGCCAGAAAGCUUGCAUUGAAUACAUAGGUAUGGUUGAGAUCACCGAUUUUAGAAGGCACAAUCUUCCCGCCAUGCUCAAUAUAUAUUUUUCUUCAUCUUCCAAUGACUCUAAACUAAAAUAGCACAAUUUCAUCUUGCUCAAAUAUUUAGGCGUUGCUCUCAAUUUGUUCCCUCUAACGGACCCAAAUCCUGAUGAUCCCUUGGUCUCUGAAAUCGCCCACAUGUACAAGACAAACAGGAACAAGUACGAGUCAACUGCCAGGAGCUGGACCCAGAAAAUAUGCCAUGUAAUACAUGUGAGGGAGAGCCUUUUUACUUCACAGUAUUUAGGCCAAACAGCCUUGUAUGUAUAUUUUUCGUCUUCAAUCAUGAACAGAUUAAUGAAGGCCCAUCCAAUUAAAGAUGAUUGGGGAAAAACGUUUCUUCUGCUGUUUGUAUUGCAA